AUUAUUUUGGCUGCUAUGGUUAAAAGAAGAGAUCUCGGCGGGUUUACUAUCUGUUUCGCUACAUGGAUAUAAUCUGGCCACGAUUAGACUCAAACCGUUUGAGACCCUCCCUUCCGUCCACCAUAUGGCCAGACCAAUCAGCAUCCUCUGAUCAUCUGUGGGGGUGGUUAAAUUGUUGAUGACAACAAAAAUCAAAAUUCAUAACAACAAUGACUGGAGGUUGCUGUUAACCGCUGCAGUAGUGGUAUCAUGUCAGAAUUGAAGGGCAUAACUUAAUUGAAAGCAAAUAACUGCAUUGAAGGCUUUUCUUGGGGAGAAUAUGUUUUUCGUUCUUCUCCCGAAUGAGUUUGCCAAGCACUUGAUUUACGAGCUAGUUCCACUGGUAGUCAAGAAAAUGGGACGGAUCAAGAACCCAAUUCUCAUUGUUGUGUCAAUGUGGGUCGCUUUAAUGGAGGUCCACAUCACAUACAAAUGGGGAGAGGUCGCAAAAGGGGAACCAGCCAUCAGAGAGAGCUGGGAAAACUCUGAUCCAUAGCCAAAGAGAGUACACCUGUGUUGGCACUGACAACAUCCGUGCCUACGUUGUCAACAACAUCCAGUAUUCCGAUUGCAACAUACAAUUUUAGCUGGAGACUUUCUUGGUCUAUAGUAAUUAGUUAGUUAAAUGUUAAAUUGUUUGUGUUGUUACUUGUCUAAACGUACCAGAU